AUGAGAAAGAUUUAUCCUGGUUGUAGUCAUGGACCCCACCACACGAUGUCAGAGGUCACAUCUGAGGAAGCUGUAGACCCAAGAUCUGGCGCCAAGAGAGAGGCAGGGCUCAGGGCUCAGUUUUUCCGUUGUCUCUCCUACAGCCUCCCACCCCCAGUAGAAGAUUUUGCAUGCGGACUCCAUCCAGUCGGAGACAAACAGAGGUCAUCUGGGGGACUUCGCGGAGGGCGCUCGCAGCCUCCCCCCUGCCCGGGCGGCGCCCGGCCCGCAUGCUACGAAGCGCUUUCGGCUCGGGCAGCCGCGCGUCUCUCCAGGAACCAACGUGGAGGGGCCCUCGCCAGGUGGUCGGUCUCUGGUCUCAAGUCCCUUUUAACCGCCCUUCCCUGCCCGCCUAGAUCGCGGAGGCCCCACAUUCCUGGCAAGACCUCUCCAGGGCUUCCGGAGGCGGGUCCCAGACUGAGAGAGCGGUUCCAUACUGGGGGGGAGGAUGGGGGGAUGUCCCCGCGAACUGCUGGACGGAGGAAGAUAACACGCCAGCGGCGCGAAGUCCGAGACGGGGGUCUGAUGGCGCCGCGGCCUUGCUCCGGGAGCCGCGACUGGCCUGUUCUCUAUUCCACAUCGCUCGUGCUGCCCUCCUUGCCUUCAUCCUGCGUCUCCCACUAGCUGGACCGAUCCAUCUGCCGACACGUUGGCCCAGUUCCAGGCGGCUCCGGGUCCGGGCGCUCUCACGAGCUGCCCCCCCCCAAACCCUCCAACCCCGGAAGCCCCAGACCCCAGGCAUCCUGAAGCCAGCGGCUCGGUUCGGGGGUUAAGGCCCAACGCCCCGCGGGUUUCCCUGAAAUAGCAAACUUCUGCCGGAAGGGGGCGCCCUUGCCUUUUUAAUAGUCCACAAACGCACAUUGGUAGCGAAAUAAAUCUCUAAAAUUCCAAA
rnacentral:lncRNA from 1 species